GAUCAUGGCUCAGGACGAACGCUGGCGGCGUGCCUAACACAUGCAAGUCGAGCGGAAGCAGAGAUUUCGGUUUUUGCUUUAGUGGCGAACGGGUGAGUAACGCGUGAGGAACCUGCCUUUCAGUGGGGGACAACAGUUGGAAACGACUGCUAAUACCGCAUAAUGCUUUUUGAUGGCAUCAUUGAAAAGCCAAAGAUUUAUUGCUGAAAGAUGGCCUCGCGUCUGAUUAGCUAGUUGGG
rnacentral:rRNA from 1 species